AAAAAGAAAAAGGGGGGAAAGGUUUACAUGAUAGAGAGUGACAAAGUCAUCACUCUGAGCUUAUCACAAGUUCACACACAACAUCUUCUUCUAGCUCCGCUCCGCUCCCUAAAAUACAGUACUGGUAUCUUCAAUCUUAACCUCUAAAAUUCUGAAGAAUCUUUGGUAGAGAGAUGAGUGACCCCAAGUAUGGUUAUCCUUACCCUGCCCAAGGACCUCCAGUGAUGGCACCUCCACAAUAUUACGCUGCUCCACCACCUCGGAGAGAGCCUGGUUUCCUCGAGGGAUGCCUUGCAGCUUUGUGCUGUUGCUGCCUUAUUGACGAGUGUUGCUGCGACCCCUCCUUCUUUUUCUGACAGAGCUAGCUGCCAUGCUUCUUCUAAGAAUAGUUAUAGCUAUGUGAUAAAUGUUGAGUAUAGUGUAUUGAUGAGUGCUGUUGUUUAUUGCCUUGAAGCAUUUUACUCUAAUGUAUUUCUACAUCCAUGUUUGGUACAUGUGGACAUCAAGAAUUUUAGUUUUAAUUCCCUUAA